GUGUAGACAUACCCUCAUGCUGAUGCUGCUCUGAAGUUAUGCUCCAGAAGGUUCUGGGUUCAAAUCUACUGAGUGGUAGUUACACAAGUCUCCAAAACGUGCCUCUUAGGAAGAAUAGCUCUGUCUGUUGGUUUAUUUGUGCCGUGCGCAGUGUGGUGACAGGGGAGGCCUUUAUAGGGUUGUAAAAUCCAUCCUGGAACGUUAUCCUGGUUUCUCUUGGAAUCAAAAGGAAUCUCUGGAGCUGAUUCAGAAGCCUGCUUUGCUAGGAGCAGUCCUAUCAUGUUCAAGGUCACGAAGAGCCUCUGGGUCUCCGUUUGAUGAACCUCUCCCCGGCUUCUCAGCCGGCCUCACCGCAGCGAUGCUGAAACCAGAGCGAGGUGUGUUGUGAGCAAGACACAAGAAGUCAUUUUCCCGCUCUACUCUGCACUGGUAAGG